AAGCGGUGGAGGAUGUGGCUUAAUUCGAGGCUACGCGAAGAACCUUAUCCUAGUCUUGACAUGCUUAGGAAUCUGACUGAAAGGUUGGAGUGCCCUUCGGGGAACCUUUGCACAGGUGCUGCAUGGCUGUCGUCAGCUCGUGUCGUGAGAUGUCGGGUUAAGUCCCUUAACGAGCGAAACCCCUGUCCCUAGUUGCCAGCGAGUAAAGUCGGGGACUCUAGGGAGACUGCCGGUGUCAAACCGGAGGAAGGUGGGGAUG
rnacentral:rRNA from 1 species